UAUGUGAUCGUCUCUCGCAUAUCAAUAAGCGGAGGAAAAGAAACUAACAAGGAUUCCCCUAGUAACGGCGAGUGAAGCGGGAAGAGUUCAAAUUUGAAAUCUUGAAGGGUUUCCCUUUACGAAUUGUAGUUUAAAGAAGUGUUUUCUGUUGAGGUUUUGGUAAAAGUUCUUUGGAAUAGGACAUCAUAGAGGGUGAGAAUCCCGUAUUUGACCUUUACUUUCAACUUUGUGAUACACUUUCAAAGAGUCGGAUUGUUUGGGAAUGCAGUCCAAAAUGGGUGGUAAAUUUCAUCUAAAGCUAAAUAUUGGCGAGAGACCGAUAGCGAACAAGUACCGUGAGGGAAAGAUGAAAAGAACUUUGAAAAGAGAGUUAAACAGUACGUGAAAUUGUCAAAAGGGAAGCGUUUGACACCAGUGUUGUUUUUCUGAAAAUCAAUUAAAGAACUGUUUAUGCUAAGCUGUUUAGACUUUAUCAGCUAUCUGUUUAGUUUUAGGCUUUUCUUUAAUGCACUUUUCAGUUAACAAGUCAACAUCAAUUUCUUUUGCUGUAAAAAAGCUUGAGGAAGGUGGCUUGAGAUUCGUCUUAAGUGUUUAUAGCCUCUUGCCUAUGCAGUCGGAGAGAUUGAGGUCUGCAGCGUAGAUCCUUCGGGGCUAAAUGCAUUUGUGCUAAGUUAUAGCAUUUUAUAGACAACUUGUUGACUAUGAUUUGUCUUGUAGCUUACUCGCUUAUGUUAUUUUACCUACGCUUAGGAUGUUGAUCUACAGAGCGAGAGU
rnacentral:rRNA from 1 species